rnacentral:rRNA from 1 species
CAUGCAAGUCGAACGAUGAAGGGAGCUUGCUCCUGGAUUAGUGGCGAACGGGUGAGUAACACGUGAGUAACCUGCCCUUAACUCUGGGAUAAGCCUGGGAAACUGGGUCUAAUACCGGAUAUGACUCCUCAUCGCAUGGUGGGGGGUGGAAAGCUUUUUGUGGUUUUGGAUGGACUCGCGGCCUAUCAGCUUGUUGGUGAGGUAAUGGCUCACCAAGGCGACGACGGGUAGCCGGCCUGAGAGGGUGACCGGCCACACUGGGACUGAGACACGGCCCAGACUCCUACGGGAGGCAGCAGUGGGGAAUAUUGCACAAUGGGCGAAAGCCUGAUGCAGCGACGCCGCGUGAGGGAUGACGGCCUUCGGGUUGUAAACCUCUUUCAGUAGGGAAGAAGCGAAAGUGACGGUACCUGCAGAAGAAGCGCCGGCUAACUACGUGCCAGCAGCCGCGGUAAUACGUAGGGCGCAAGCGUUAUCCGGAAUUAUUGGGCGUAAAGAGCUCGUAGGCGGUUUGUCGCGUCUGCUGUGAAAGACCGGGGCUCAACUCCGGUUCUGCAGUGNGUACGGGCAGACUAGAGUGAUGUAGGGGAGACUGGAAUUCCUGGUGUAGCGGUGAAAUGCGCAGAUAUCANGAGGAACACCGAUGGCGAANGCAGGUCUCUGGGCAUUAACUGACGCUGA